AGAACUCACGGACAGCUUCAAAAACAAAUUACAAAUCACCCAGCUCCUUUCACCAGCACCUCCAGGGCGCCAACGCCACAGCCGGCUGCAGCGAAACACUGGAGGAGCUUGAGAAGCGAGCCGCCCGACACACAAACAAACGGCUCCACAUGAAAGGCCCCUUCAAAUUUGCCCCCUCUGAGAACCAUGGGUAGAUACCGGCGUGAUGACUGUUUCCGGCCGCGGUGACGUUUUAGACAGGGGCUGCUGCUGGGAGGAAGGGGCUGAUCCUCCUCAAGCCGGGUCACUGUGCGGGAAGUUUAAAGAAACGGUGAGGUGAAAUUUGUACCGAUUUCGUCGAUUUGGGCGCUAAAGCGGAUAGGAGCUCCGAAUGGCGCUGCCUCACCGAACCUGGCGGCCGGUAGCGCGUCUCGUUAUGCAGGGUCCGGCCCGGAUAACGGCCGCACUGAGGGCCUGGUCUUCCAGUGCUGAAUCAAUAGAGGAGAGACAGAAACGCCUGAUGGCUCGGGGACUUCCAAAGCAAAAAAUGAUUCCAGGAGUGAAACAGGUUAUUGUUGUAGCCUCAGGAAAAGGUGGUGUUGGAAAAUCAACGACUGCAGUGAAUUUGGCUUUGGGAAUGGCUGCUAACAAUUUGCUUGUGGGUCUGCUUGAUGCAGAUGUGUAUGGUCCAUCUAUCCCAUGUAUGAUGAAUUUAAGAGGAAACCCAGAAUUGACAGACAGCAACUUGAUGAGACCCUUGGUAAACUUCGGGAUUGCCUGCAUGUCAAUGGGAUUUUUGGUAGAGGAAGGAACACCAGUUGUUUGGAGAGGUCUCAUGGUGAUGUCAGCAAUAGAAAGGCUAUUGAGACAGGUUGACUGGGGUCAACUAGACUACCUUGUUGUGGACAUGCCUCCUGGCACAGGGGAUGUGCAGCUUUCCAUCUCUCAAAACAUUCCUAUUUCAGGUGCAGUUAUUGUUUCUACUCCCCAAGACAUUGCUUUGUUGGAUGUAGAGAGAGCAGCAGAAAUGUUUCGAAAAGUUAAUGUUCCUGUUCUUGGUAUUGUACAAAACAUGAGUGUCUUCCAGUGUCCCAAUUGCAAACAUGAGACUCACAUCUUUGGAGCUGAUGGAGCAAGGGCAUUGGCAGCAAAACUUGCAUUAGAUGUCCUAGGUGAUAUUCCAUUACACUUAAACAUAAGGGAAACAUGUGAUAACGGCCAACCAGUUGUUGUCUCUCAUCCAGACAGCUCAGAGGGUGGUUGCUGUUGAAAUUCUGUACUUGGUCAGUGUGUCUGGCUUUCCUGUGUACCUUUUGUUAGGAAUUUCCCGUUGGUCCUGCAUUCUACCAUGACAUCCAGGAAUGGGAGCAGUUUGUUCUUUAGUGAAUCUGAUCCAGCUGAAGGCCAAGGCCUACUUAAGACUUACUGCGGAAGUAUUGAAAAGACUACCAACAUCUCUUGUGUGAGCAGUGGAAAGUUUAGGUCUACGGCAUCAGAUCCACUUCCAACACUCGUUUUUUUUUCCUCAAAGCUUUCUGAAAAUAGCUGCUAAAACAGAACACGAGAUAACAAGGUGUAGAGCUGGAUGAACACAGCAGCAUCAGAGGAGCAGGAAGGCUGACGUUUCAGGCCUGGAACCUCCUUCAGAAAUGGGUGGAGGGGUUCUGAAAUAAAUAGACAGAGAGGGGAGGUGGUUAGAAGAGAAGAUAGUGGAGAGGAGAUUGACUGACAGGUCAAAGAGGCAGGGGUGGAGCCAGUAGAGGUGAGUUUAGGUGGGGAGGUAGGGUGGAGAUAGAUCAGAUCAGUCCAGGAAGGAUGGUCAGGUCAAGGGGGAGGGAUGAAGUUAGGUAGGAGAUGGGGGCUGGGCUUGGGGUGGGAGGAGUGGAUGGUGGGAGGAAGGACAGGUUAGGGAGGCAGAGACAAGCUGGACUGGUUUUGGUAUGCGGUGGGGGAAGGGGAGAUCUUUUCCAUGCUGACACUGGUCCUAAACUCUACCUCUUCCUCCAGAUGACUAUAUCGAUGCUGCCUUGUGUUCCUACAAAGAGCUCGAACAGUUCAUCCACUUCACCAACACCUUCCACCACAACCUGAAGUUCACCUGGACCAUCUCCAAUACCCCUCUCUCCUUCCUGGACGCCUCUAUCUCCAUCUCUGGCAACUGCCGAGAAACUGAUAUCCAUUUCAAGCGCACCAACUCCCCCAGCUACCAAGAAUACACCUCCUCCCACCCAUCUCCCUGCAAAAAUGCCAUCCCCUGUUCCCAAUUCCUUCACCUCUGCUGCAUCUUCUCCCUGGAUAAGACAUUCCACUCCUAUACAUUUCGAAUGUCCUCAUUUUUCAAGGACCACAACUUCCCCUCCUCCGUGGUCGAGAACACCCUCGACUGUGUCUCCUGCAUUUCCCACAACUCAUCCCUCACACCCCCUCCCUGCAAUAACAACCAAAACAGAAUCCCCCUCGUACUCACGGACCACCCCACCAUCCUCCGGAUCCAACGCAUCACCCUCCGACACUACGGCAAUCUGCAAUCCGACUCCAAUCAGACUGGCCUAUCUCCUCCCUACCUCCCCAGCUACACUCACCUUUUACUGGCUCCAUCCCUGCCUCUUUUUUGACCUGCCUGUCUCCUCUCACCUAUCUUCUCCUUUUAUCCAUCUUCUAUCUGCCUCCC